AAAACGGCCCUUUUCAGGGCCACCAUCAAUUUUCAAUGCGAAAAAG
rfam:Anopheles gambiae str. PEST chromosome 2L, whole genome shotgun sequence.